rnacentral:rRNA from 1 species
UAGAGUUUGAUCCGUGGCUCGAGGACGAACGCUGGCGGCGUGCUUAACACAUGCAAGUCGAACGGAAAGGCCCUGCUUUUGUGGGGUGCUCGAGUGGCGAACGGGUGAGUAACACGUGAGUAACCUGCCCUUGACUUUGGGAUAACUUCAGGAAACUGGGGCUAAUACCGGAUAGGAGCUCCUGCUGCAUGGUGGGGGUUGGAAAGUUUCGGCGGUUGGGGAUGGACUCGCGGCUUAUCAGCUUGUUGGUGGGGUAGUGGCUUACCAAGGCUUUGACGGGUAGCCGGCCUGAGAGGGUGGCCGGCCACAUUGGGACUGAGAUACGGCCCAGACUCCUACGGGAGGCAGCAGUGGGGAAUAUUGCACAAUGGGCGGAAGCCUGAUGCAGCAACGCCGCGUGCGGGAUGACGGCCUUCGGGUUGUAAACCGCUUUCGCCUGUGACGAAGCGUGAGUGACGGUAAUGGGUAAAGAAGCACCGGCUAACUACGUG